GACGAACGCUGGCGGCGUGCUUAACACAUGCAAGUCGAACGGAAAGGCCCUGCUUGCAGGGUACUCGAGUGGCGAACGGGUGAGUAACACGUGGGUGAUCUGCCCUGCACUUCGGGAUAAGCCUGGGAAACUGGGUCUAAUACCGGAUAGGAGCCAUUUUUAGCGUGAUGGUUGGAAAGUUUUUUCGGUGUAGGAUGAGCUCGCGGCCUAUCAGCUUGUUGGUGGGGUAAUGGCCUACCAAGGCGGCGACGGGUAGCCGGCCUGAGAGGGUGGACGGCCACAUUGGGACUGAGAGACGGCCCAGACUCCUACGGGAGGCAGCAGUGGGGAAUAUUGCACAAUGGGCGCAAGCCUGAUGCAGCGACGCCGCGUGGGGGAUGACGGCCUUCGGGUUGUAAACUCCUUUCGCUAGGGACGAAGCUUUUUGUGACGGUACCUAGAUAAGAAGCACCGGCUAACUACGUG
rnacentral:rRNA from 1 species